UGCUUAGCAACUCCUAUCCCUAUCUCCUCGCGGUACUGGCCGGGGUACGAGCAACCUUAGGGAAAAUCGGGAAACCAAUCACGGAACUUUGGUCGUAUGCUGACUUGGGAAGA
rnacentral:ribozyme from 1 species